UAUGAGAGUUUGAUCCUGGCUCAGGACGAACGCUGGCGGCGUGCCUAAUACAUGCAAGUCGUACGCUUCUUUUUCCACCGGAGCUUGCUCCACCGGAAAAAGAAGAGUGGCGAACGGGUGAGUAACACGUGGGUAACCUGCCCAUCAGAAGGGGAUAACACUUGGAAACAGGUGCUAAUACCGUAUAACAAUCGAAACCGCAUGGUUUUGAUUUGAAAGGCGCUUUCGGGUGUCGCUGAUGGAUGGACCCGCGGUGCAUUAGCUAGUUGGUGAGGUAACGGCUCACCAAGGCCACGAUGCAUAGCCGACCUGAGAGGGUGAUCGGCCACAUUGGGACUGAGACACGGCCCAAACUCCUACGGGAGGCAGCAGUAGGGAAUCUUCGGCAAUGGACGAAAGUCUGACCGAGCAACGCCGCGUGAGUGAAGAAGGUUUUCGGAUCGUAAAACUCUGUUGUUAGAGAAGAACAAGGAUGAGAGUAACUGUUCAUCCCUUGACGGUAUCUAACCAGAAAGCCACGGCUAACUACGUGCCAGCAGCCGCGGUAAUACGUAGGUGGCAAGCGUUGUCCGGAUUUAUUGGGCGUAAAG
rnacentral:rRNA from 1 species